rnacentral:rRNA from 1 species
UACGUAGGUGGCAAGCGUUAUCCGGAUUUAUUGGGCGUAAAGGGAACGCAGGCGGUCUUUUAAGUCUGAUGUGAAAACUCAGGGCUCAACCCUGAGCCUGCAUUUGAAACUGUGUUUCUUGAGUGCUGGAGAGGCAAUCGGAAUUCCGUGUGUAGCGGUGAAAUGCGUAGAUAUACGGAGGAACACCAGUGGCGAAGGCGGAUUGCUGGACAGUAACUGACGCUGAGGCGCGAAAGCGUGGGGAGCAAACAGG